rnacentral:rRNA from 1 species
GACGAACGCUGGCGGCGUGCUUAACACAUGCAAGUCGAACGGAAAGGCCCUGCCUUUGUGGGGUGCUCGAGUGGCGAACGGGUGAGUAACACGUGAGUAACCUGCCCUUGACUUUGGGAUAACUUCAGGAAACUGGGGCUAAUACCGGAUAGGAGUUCCUGCUGCAUGGUGGGGGUUGGAAAGGUUCGGCGGUUGGGGAUGGACUCGCGGCUUAUCAGCUUGUUGGUGGGGUAGUGGCUUACCAAGGCUUUGACGGGUAGCCGGCCUGGGAGGGUGCCCGGCCACAUUGGGCCUGGGAUCCGGCCCAGACUCCAACGGGGGGCAGCAGUGGGGAAUAUUGCACAAUGGGCGGAAGCCUGAUGCAGCAACGCCGCGUGCGGGAUGACGGCCUUCGGGUUGUAAACCGCUUUCGCCUGUGACGAAGCGUGAGUGACGGUAAUGGGUGAAGAAGCACCGGCUAACUACGUG